UCCGGUUUAACACCGGCAGUCUCCUUAGAGUCCCCGGCAUGACCCGCUGGCAACUAAGGACAAGGGUUUCGCUCGUUAAGCGACUUAACGCGACAUCUCACGACACGAGCUGACGACAGCCAUGCAGCACCUGUGCAAAGGCUCCCCGAAGGGCACCCCGGGCUUUCACCCAGGUUCCUAAGCAUGUCAAGACUAGGAUAAGGUUCUUCGCGUAGCCUCGAAUUAAGCCACAUCCUCCACCGCUUGUGUGAGCCCCCGUCAAUUCCUUUGAGUUUUAGCCUUGCGGCCGUACUCCCCAGGCGGGACACUUAAUGCGUUAGCUACGGCACUGGCGGGGUUGACGUUGGAGGAAUUCCA
rnacentral:misc_RNA from 1 species